UCCCUCUGUCCCAAAAUAAGUGAAUCAAUUUUUGGGACGGCCGGAGUAGGGUAUUCACUUGACUAUUUAAAGGUGUUUUUCACGGUAGGAACAUGUCAAAUCGUUUAGAACUGAAACCAAUUGCAUCUUCUUACUUUAAAAGCUGGAUCAAGGUAUUAUAUGCUAUUCCAAAUUUACAGGGCAGCCUCCUGAUAUGCACACUAUCUGCAAGUAUGGAUGGUAUAAGAAUCGAUUCAGAAAGUAAUGCAUCCAGAAGAAAAAUGGAAUAAGUCUUGCUGAGCAACCACAAACA